UGGUUUUUGCAUUUCCUAAUCUUAUUUGAUCUUAUUUUCAAGGGGUCAUGUGUGAUCCAAUGAUUAGUUGGUGGAAAAUGGUGUUUCAAGCUGUGUUUCCAGUCUUGGGCAUUCACCUAUGAAGUGCAAGCUGUGGCAAGAAUCAGCCUUCUAGAUCAAAGGGAUAUAAUGACAAAAGAAAAGGACGAAGUAUCCCCAGAGUAAGAAAUUCCAGACCAAAGUCAAGGCUGGACAGCUUCAUGGAUUAGCAUCUAUUAGAUGUUUCAUACUUGGAGCUUAUACCGUAAAGUAGCAUGGUCAACACACCAGCUCUUACACAUAGCAUAAGGACUACACCUGCAUACUCUUGAUUUACUUUAAUGUUUUCUUUCCUACCCCAAGACUGGAGAAAGCACCAGUUUUGAGAUUGUGUCUGAUUUUUCAUCCCUUGUGUGUUCCUACAGCUUUUUCCUUCCAUGAGUCUUUAAUAAAAUGGCUGGACACA